GGGACCCAGUGGGAGGUAAUUGAAUCAUGGGGGUGGGUCUUUCUCAUGCUGUUCUCACGAUAGUGAAUAAGUCUCACAAGAUCUGAAGGUUAUAUAAAGAGAAGUUCCCUACACCACUUCUGUCUUUGCCUGCUGCCAUCCACGUGAUAUGUGACUUGCUGCUCCUUGCCUUCUGCCAUAAUUGUGAGGCCUCCUCAGCCACACGGAAAUGCUUAUAGGCAUAAGAGACUUGCCUUGUCUCAGAUGAAACUUUGGACUGUGGACUUUUGAGUUAAUGCUGAUAUUAGGACUCUGCUUACCCUUUGUGAAUAAGCCCAGUGAAUCUGCUGAGUGAUGAGAGAGAGAGUGGGCCAGUCACUUCAUUGCUCCAGGUCCUGCACAGUUCAAUAUUAAAUGGAGUUUCUACCCUAGCAUGAAAGGAGGAAGAGAGAAAAUCGGAUCCAAGAGAAAUUCGGCUCCAACAUUCCCCAAAUAUUAGAGUGAGACCAUCUGGAAUUCAAAAUGUUAUUGUGGUUAUGUUGAAGAUGUAAAUAUUCUCCCUGCUGUGAGUAUUACUGCAGCUGCCCAAAGAUGCUUUAUUUUAAAGAUGUGGAUACAGGAAGAUAAAAGCAUCAGAAACACUGCAUGGGAAAAUCAUUCAGACUGCAGCUUCCUGGUUUUAGACAUCCCCACUGGCAAUUGGGACAUCUAUUUUGGAGAUGUAAUUGAAAAGACUGAAGAAUGUACUGAGGACCUUCUGGCUGAUAGAAGCUGACAAAGAAGCCAAGAUUGGUGAAGAUUUCUGCAAUACCUGAGUUUCUAAUCACAACAACAAAAAUGACCUGGAUAGAAAACCUUGGAGAUAGUAAUUGAUGGGCAUCACGUAGCUGGUUGCUGGAGAAACACUGAAGCAGAACUUGUAAUAUCUUCAAAACAAGUGAAGGCCAGGAAUCAGAAAUGCUUCUGAAGGUCAGCUGCCUCUCCAGCCAUCUAUGAAGAGCUAUGGUUCUGAAUCCUGGCUAAUAUCAGAAUCAUCCUGGGAGCUUUUGAAAAUCCUGAUGCUCAAGUCACACUCCAUACUCAGACAAGAAGCUGAGUCUCAGAGAGAGAAAAUGACUCAUCCAAGCAAGGUUUGAGACCUAAGAAAGGUUGUGUAAGCAGAAGCUGGAAGACCCUUGAAAAGAGCAUUCAUUCAAGAAAUGAAGCAUGAGAUAGGAUGGAAGGAGGGAAGAAAGACAAGCAUAUGGCAUAUCAGGUCUCUUCCAGUGCUAAAGGCUGCCUAUGAUACUCAUCUGACCUGAUUUCUCCUGCACAGUGUUGCAACUGACGAGUAGCAGACUUGCCCUUGCCUGCAUUUGGGGGGAUGGCUGAGACUUUCCUUACAGAAAGCCCUACUUUCAGCAUGAACACUAACCCAGUUUAUUGGCUCAGGGUGUAGAGAGUUGCCUUGUCACUGGCGAAGUCAGAUGCAGCCAGUACCAGAGCUCUGCACUAGCUGUGAACACUAAGGAAGAAUAGCUGAGUGAGGAAGCAGAGUGCCAGGCAGCACAUCCUUCUUCAGGUGUUUCCUGCCCUGGGCCAGAUCCCAGGCACUGCAGCAAUAUCUCUGCAUGAUCUAGGGCUCCUGGAAAUAGCCCAUUAAGGGCAAAACUCGCUGCCCAGAAAACAUUAGAACAUUAAAAGAGCAGGGUCUCAUCUGAUUGUCUUGGUUUCCUGAGGCUCAUUCAGUCUGUGUCCACUGGUUUCAGUCUGAGUUCUCUGCACUUUGAGGAUGCAGACAGUGAAGUUCUCCCAUGGUUAUAGGGGGAGAGAUCAUAGGAAUGCUAUGGAAAGAGGCCUGAAGUCAGAGCCAGCUAGUGGUUAUUAUUUAUUAAUUGCCUGUGAGGUGCCAGGCGCACAUAUUAGACCAUAUGUGAUUGCAGUGAGCCACCCGGAUCCCCUUCAAGCUGCUGCUGCAGCUGAUGGAAGUCCUAUUGGCAGACAGCCUUCUCUCAUCAGCCCCUUCAGGACUUGCCUCAGUUGCAGAGAGCUGCCUUCCCCAAGAUCACACCCUUCCCUGGGGACUCACAACCAAUGGCUGAUCCAGAAGAAUCCAUAAAGCCCGUAUCAUUUCAGCCCAAUUUAGGACAGCUUUGUUGAGCCAUUAGACCUACAUGCAGCCCAACCUCUCCUUCUACCCACUUCUUCUUUCUUCCCUUUCCUUCCACGGUGUCUGUUCCAAGCACUUGCCUUAAUAAACAUGUAACAGGUUAAACUCUGUCUCGAUGUCUGCUUCAAGGAGAACCCAACCUGUGACAGUGAUAACAGAUAAAAACAAAGGACAUCACUUUUCCCUGCCUUACUUUCCAUUUACCACUAAAAAGGGUCUUGGACUUGCCCACUCAGUUUCUUCUCUUUCUUCACUCUUUGGAGAUGGUCCCUCCACUACCACAGACACAAAAAAGAAGAGUUGGGAAGAGAGAGGGGUGAAAACAUUUGGGGCACUGCAGGCCUAGUGCUAGGUGACUGAAGACUACCUGGAGGGUGCAGGAAGUGACUGUUUCUCCAUCAUGUAUUGUAUUGCUAUAGUGACUUAAAAAACAAGUAGGUGAUUUGUGUUUUUUUGGUUUUUUUUUGUUUUUUUGGUUUUUUUUUUGAGACAGAGUCUCGCUCUGUCACCCAGGCUGGAGUGCAGUGGCGCUAUCUUGGCUCACUGCAAGCUCCACCUCCUGGGUUCAC
rnacentral:lncRNA from 1 species